rnacentral:lncRNA from 1 species
UGAAAUAGCUUCAAAAUUAAGUGAUUUUUUGAAAUUUUGAGAUUCAAAAAAAGUUUCCAUAAAAUGAUGAAAUACCUAAAAUAACAUUUUAAGAAUAACUAUUCAAACCAAAUUUUCAUUUGAAACUUUUAUAAAAAAUUUCUUUGUAAUUUUUUUUUAUACUAAAAUAUUUAACACUAUAAAAAUCAUUUCUAAAAAAAGCCAAAACAAACGGGCCCUAAGUCUGAUGAGAAUGGGUCAAGGAUACACUUAUAUUGAAGGGUUUGAUUGCAAUGAUACCUUUGCUUUUGUUGUGGUCUUGAAGCUAUUAUUCUCUUGUUUCCUUCAGUUAAAACUUUUCCAACUGGAUGUUAAAAGUUCCUUCCACAAUGGAUACUUGAAUGAGGAAGUGUAUGUUGAGCAAUCUAAGGGCUUUAUUGAUCCAUAUUUUCCUAACUAUGUCUACAAACUCAGAAAAGAUCUGUAUGGCCUCAACAAGCUCAUAGAGCUUGGCAUGAGAGACUCACAUAAUUUCUUACUAAAAACUUUUAUGUUCGUGGAGGAAUUGACAAGACUUUAUUUGUGAAGAAUGGUGGAAUUUUUUAUAACUUAGAUAUAUGUUGAUAAUUGUGUUUGGAGGGACGUCAAACUAGAUGUGGUCCAUUUUGUUCAACAAAUACACAAAAUUUGAAAUGAUCAUGGUUGGUGAGCUUACCUAUUUUUUUUAGAUUCUAGAUGAAACAAAUUGAAGAUGAUAUUUUUAUUUCCCAAAUUAAAUAUGCCAAGAACAUUUGGAAGAAAUUUGGGGUAAAGAAUGCUCUCCUCAAAUGAAAACUUGGUCCCACUCAUGUUAAUUUGUCAAAGGAUAAAUAAGACGACCAAAGUCUUUACAGGAGUAUGAUUGGUAUUCUUGUGUAUUCCACAACAAGUCACCUUAAUAUUAACUUCGUAGUGUGAGUAUGUACUCGGUGUCAAGCCAAACCAAUGGUUAUCCAUCUCACUCAAGUCAAAUGGAUUAUCAAAUGCAUAAAUGGAACAUCUGACUAUGACAUUUGUACUUAUUUGAUAGAAACACCUCACUGGUAGUUAUUGUGAUGCUGAUUGGACCAAGAAUGUUGGAGAUAGGAAAAUCACAUUGGAGGACAUUUCUUUAUGGGAAACAAUUUAAUUCCUUAGUUUAGUAAAAAGCAAAAUUGUGUUUCUUUUUCAACUGCAGAAUGAGAGUAUAUUGUUGUUGUAAGUUGUUGGUCUCUAAAAUUCUAAAUAAAAUAGAUGCUUCAAGAGUUUGAUGUUACAAAAGAUGUCAUGGAAUUGUAUUGCGACAACAUAAGUGUUAUCUAAGAAUCAUUGCCAACACAUUAGAAUCAAACAUAUUAAUAUACAUCAUCAUUUCAUCAAGAACUUGUUGAAGAUAAGAAGAUCACACGAUGACAUUUUAAAUACAUACUAAAUUACAGAGGCGGAAUAAAUACUUACAAUCAUACAUUUCAUUUAUUUAUAAAAGUAAGUUAUUAUAAUUAUAAUUAUGCAAUGAGAUUGUUGUUUGCUAUAUCUUCUAUAAGAAAACAAAGGUAAAAAUAUUUGCAGGGGUGUUCAUGGAUGCGGGUCGAUCCACGAACCCGCUGACCCAACCCAACCCAACCCAUAAAUUACCUGAACCCAUUCAUUUACGGGUAUACUCAAUACAACCCAUAACAACCCGUAUAAUUUUGGUUCGGGUAUCGGGUUUGAGCUUUGCAACCCGUGGAUCCGUUGACCCAACUCAUUGAUGUGCCUUUAGUAAUUUCUUAUUAUUUUAAUUAUUAUUUUAAAUGAAAAUAUAAAAUUUAUAUCUCACUAAUAACCAUAAUUUUUCCAAAAAAAAUUAUUCUCCACCAAUACUACUACUAGACCAAUGAGUUUAUGUAAUUCUAAGAUUAAAUGUUUUUUUUUAUCAUUUCUAACUUAUGUAUUUUAUGGAAAUAAUGUGUCUUGUUGAAUAUUAUACUAUUCUAAAGUAUUAUGUCGUGUCGAUGAAUUUCAUUAGAUAUUCUAUGAUAUAUUUUAUUGAAUUUGAGUGUUAUAAAUGAGUAUGAUUGUAUUGAGUUGUGUUACAUUUUUUUAAAAAUCGACAAAAAGAAUCAUAAAAAAUAUAUUUUGUAUUUGAAACACAACCCGCGAACCCAACUCAACUCAAUCCAUUAAUGAACGGGUCAGUCCGGACCGGUUUUGACAAUGAAAUUACGGAUUGGACAAUGGACUCAACCCAUUGUAGUUUGAACGGGUUGGAUAGCGCGUUAGGUCAAACCCGAUCCAACCUAACCCGCGUGCACCCCUAUUGCACAUACUUAUCAUCUUUGUCCUAAAAAGUGAAUGCCACAUCAACAUAAAUUAAUUUUAAGUUUCAAUAAAUAUAAGAAAAAUAAAUAUACACCGGUAAUAUAAAUAUUUUAAAAGUUAUCAUUUCCAUAUCUGAAAGACACAAAAUUUAUCAAUGCACUUCAAAAUCGGAGGUAAAUAGUAAUCAAGACAAUCAUCAUCAACAACACAGGGAGUGCCAGCUGCGUUGUAGAAAAUAAGAAGAAGAAAAUUGUUAUUAAAAGGUGAUAAAAUAUUAAGUAAACAUAAAUUUGAAAAUUGUAGAAAUGACAUACUCCUACUGGUUACAACAAGAAAUAGCGAAAGAAGGAUGACCAAAACAUAAAUAAACAUGAGAUUUUGCACCAUAUUUUUCUCCUUUGUAGGAAUUAAAAUAAAAAAAAUUAGAUAGCUUUAUAAGUAAAAAAAAUUCAUGUUUUUAUAAAUUCAAUUAUUAUUUUUAGCACUUAGAAAUUGCAAGAAGUUUUUUAAUAAAAUUAUAAUUAUU